UAAAAUAUAAAAACUUAAAAAAUAAAUAAAACUUAAAAUAUAAAAUAUAAAACUUAAAAACUAACUUUACUUAAACAUAGUGUUGUGUACCAUAUGUUGUGCCAACGAAAAGGGCCGAACUCUUUUAUU